UACAGAGGUCUCAAGCGUUGUUCGGAUUCAUUGGGCGUAAAGGGUGCGUAGGUGGCUUGGUAAGUCGGAUGUGAAAUCCCGGGGCUCAACCCCGGAACUGCAUUCGAUACUGCCAGGCUAGAGUACUGGAGAGGAGAUUGGAAUUUACGGUGUAGCAGUGAAAUGCGUAGAUAUCGUAAGGAAGACCAGUGGCGAAGGCGGAUCUCUGGACAGUUACUGACACUGAGGCACGAAGGCCAGGGGAGCAAACGGG
rnacentral:rRNA from 1 species